GACGUAGGGGGCCAGCGUUGUUCGGAAUUACUGGGCGUAAAGGGCUCGUAGGUGGCCAACUAAGUCAGACGUGAAAUCCCUCGGCUUAACCGGGGAACUGCGUCUGAUACUGGAUGGCUUGAGUUUGGGAGAGGGACGCGGAAUUCCAGGUGUAGCGGUGAAAUGCGUAGAUAUCUGGAGGAACACCGGUGGCGAAGGCGGCGUCCUGGACCAACACUGACACUGAGGAGCGAAAGCCAGGGGAGCAAACGGG
rnacentral:rRNA from 1 species